GACAUUUGGCCAGAUGGGGAUAAGAAGAAAAAAAACAUGUUCUUGAUAUUAUCAAGAGCUUUGGAAACUGCAUACGUUCCAUGCGCUUAUGAGACAUUUGUUGCGCAGUGUACCCUCACUGUAUAUUGCCGCCAAUUUCUCGGCAUUUCCAGCGGUUCAAACGUUUCUUCUGGGUUUUAGGCAAUUGCCUGGGUUUCCGUUAUUUGAAAAAAAGGUGUUUAAUCGCCCGAUCAAUCUAGUGGAAGGGGUGAGUCGGCCAGUGAUUUUGAGAUGAGUGCGACACCUACGUGCAUCAACGUUUAGUGGACCUAAAGGACAUCGUCAGCACCGAGAUUUGCCAGCUGGAAACGCAGUGGGGCUACACGCAAUGGAGGCACGCGUACCACUCGUCCUAGACAAAGAAACGUCCUCCGUGCUUCCGACGAACUUCAAUCGGCGCGAAAUUCCUAAACCUCGAGCCACGAGUUCAUUCAGAGUAAAAUAGCAUGCCGAGGAAAAAUCACUGUUCGGGACGAAAAGUGGAGUUCAGUAAUUUAGAUAAAGCCGGCCGUCACAAAAUAAUAUUGUUCUUGUUUUUGCCCUCCUGCCAUGGAUUUCCUCGGCCUCCAAAGCGGGAUGCAGCUGCGACUGCUACUUCUAAAGUGUGUAAAAGUCAUGAACCUAUAGGACGAUAAGUCGUGAUCUCGAUUAACUUCGCCACGAGGUUGCGAACUUAAUGAAAAUGUUCCUGUCGGUGUUCUUGUUGUCCAUGAUCGGCCCGUUUUUUUUCUUCUUCUUCGUAUUCAGUUAUUUCAUGUUUGCGAUUUAACUACUGGGCGGGCAGAAUCUAUGCAAGUGUUUACCCAACAACCUGUUGAAAAACAGGACGGAAUGCGACAUGCCUUGACGCAGGACGGCCGCCGACUGUUGAAGGCAGCUAAAAAUUGUUAUGUGACUUGAAUUGCGAGCGAAUGUGCACCUAUCAAAAUGUUGGCGCAUCAAAAUCUGGUGCGUGAGCGUGCGUGUCAAAAUGUGUUUAUGUGACUGCAUUAGAUUUGUGAUAAAUGUAUUGAUACGCUACUUGCGAAGAAUAUACAUUCUUUAUUUACGUGA